UUUUUCCAGCAUGCUGGGCACAGGGAUAAAGUUGUUGACUUCCAUUGGAAUGCAUUUGAUCCUUGGACGAUCGUUAGCGUGUCAGAUGACUGUGAUACCACUGGAGGAGGGGGAACAUUACAGAUAUGGCGUAUGAGUGAUUUGAUCUAUAGGCCGGAAGAUGAGGUUUUGGCAGAGCUUGAGAAGUUCAAGUCGCAUGUGAUUGCAUGUGCUUCUAAGCCUUGAGUGAGAGGGAGACAGAACUAGAGAACUUGCUGGAUAAACUAGUUGAUGCAUGGAUUUAAUGUGUUUUGUUUUGUCUUGAGGUUCGUAGGAAUUAGUGGUUGUCAAAUGUAGGCAUAUUACUAGAUUUAUAUAUAUCUUUUCAGAGAUUAGGCCGUAGUCAAAGAUUUACAUGCCUUUCUGCCUUUGCUGGAUGAAUUACAUGCAAAUUAGAAGAUUUCAACUCGUAGAACCCCUUGGCAUUAUUGUGACAAAUCAUCUGCGG
rnacentral:misc_RNA from 1 species